GCUCGUCGAAGAAUGCUUGGAAAAGGUGGAUGUCUGUUUGUUCAGCGGCAUCCUGAGGAUGCAUAAGAGUACAUACUGCUGUGUGAGUGACUGAUGUGAGCCACAUGAGUCUCAGAGCAGAAUAUUCAUGACCCUUCUAAAUAAGAAUCAGCUCCACCAAUUUGAGGAUUGCAAGAACUGAAGUAUGCAAGCUAUAUGUAGAAAUCACAUCAUUUUACUGCACCUCUACCCAGACCAUCAGUACACCCAGGAAUCUGCUGAUACUGGGUGGAAUCCAUGCAACCUUCAACUCUGACAAGGUUUCCGGUACCUGUGCCUGCCACACA